ACAUCCUCUGCAGCAGAAUAAUGAGUGUAUACGCAAGAUGAAGAGAGUCUGCCAUUGUAAUGGUGGCUCCCUAAGUGUGUGGAUAAGGUAUGAAAAAUCCUGGGGCAGGGUUUUGCAACUUCUCUAAAUCCGAAAGCCAUAUUCCCUUCUGGAUGUGAGGCAGCACCAGUGAGGGGCGUGCCUGGAGGAUAAAGGGUGUGGCCUAGGGAGAGUUCUGGUGGGCUGAUAGAGAAGAGGGUUACCCAUUGCUACAAUUUGCUAAGAAGCAAGACCGUUCUCUGCAGCCUUCAUUAACAUUCAGAUCUGUGCAGACCAAUUAGAGGGUUAUGAUCUAAACAUUGAUUAUUCCCUCCUUUCUUUUUCUCACCAGCAAUUCCAACAAUGGAUAUGUGUCACCGGAUGAACACCACCUAAUGAUAUGAUUUGUCAUAUAAUGAUCUGUGAUUGAUGUUAUAGGGAUAUCCUGCCCGCCACCUCGAAUAAAUA